AUUUAGGACGCUGCUACAUUGCAAGAGUUUUUUACUCUUUUUCUUCCCUUCGCUUCUUGUAAGAGAUAAUCGCCUUUUCUCAUAAAGGAGGCUAUCUCUUACUCAUAUCCAACCUUCAGGUCUCUCUCUCUCUCUCUUAUAUUUAUACAUUCAUUAACUUUUUGUGGUGCAGGCGUUUAGUUACGCAACCCUGUUUAACAAGGCUUGCAAUCUUUGGAAGACAGCAAGGUUGCAGCUAUGGCAGUCCUUGCAACUGUUGGUAUUAUUGCAUUUAUAGUAUCACAAAAUCGUUCACAACAACCUUCUUUCAAAUUCAGCUAUCUAAGAAAACACAAAGCAAAAUCAAAGAAACUGAAAGAUUUGAUGGAAGAGUUAAGCGUUCGAGCAAAUGAUAUCAAGAGGAGAUUAGAUCUCAGUGAGGACUAUUAUGGAAAAGAACAACCAAACAAUGAGAUAAAACAAUGGCUAGAAGAUGUUGAAAAUAUUCAAAGGGAAGGUUAUAAGUUAGCGGGUGAAGUUGGAGAGAGAAGAAAAUGCUUGAAUGGCCAUAUCCCAAAUUAUCGUUCGAGACUAAAAUUGGGGAAGCAUAUGGAAAUUAAGAUUAAGGAAGCUAUUGUUCUUCUUGGGGAGGCCCGAUUUUUAGACGAUUCAUCAACUAAAAUACGUCAGGAGAAGAGAAAGAGAGAUUACUCACCACAGCCUAAUUAAUUAGUAAAGCAACUAUGGAUUUAAAUUCUAGAGCACGGAAGUGGUUUGCAAGAAACCCUGGAUGCAGCUUGAAUUGCACCCUUAGAACACAAUUUUUCUUGUAUUAUUUGGUCUAUGUAUAAAGACUGUAAACAAUAGGGUUUUUUUUUUCAUAACUACAUUGAUGUAAAGCUAGCAUGUCAAAUAAUAUGUUGGAGGAAAUUCUCUUCAAAGUGUCAAAAUUCAGAAAUUAUUUACAUAUGACUAGGCAUCAUCCGAAUUAUUUAUGGCCA